rfam:Limnochorda pilosa DNA, complete genome, strain: HC45.
CAGCCGGGGAAGGAUCGGCCGUGGCAACAGCCUGAUAGCCACGUAGCGAAUCGGACGCUGAAGGCAGGGCAACCGCUUCAGUGAAAGCUCCGAGGAUAAAGUCCCCGCCGUCGCAAGACGGGACCGCCCAGGGGGGCGAGCAAGUGACCGGGCCGCAACAUAA